UCGCCGCCCAUUUCGCUCCGCGUCCCCCGCAACCCAAGAACCCCGGCGAGAACCUCGACCUCGCUCUCCUCGCCCGCCACCAUGGAGGCCACCGCCGCGCCGCGGCCGCUGUCCCUCCUCGCGCGGCAGCCGCAGCCGCAGCCGCAGCAGCUGAGGCUGAGGUUGCAGCGGGUCGCCGCGUUCACCGGAGUUGGAGGCGGGGGGCGGCGGCUGAUGGUGGCCGCGGCGGCCAAGAAGAGGAGGGGGAAGGGCGGGGAGGGGGAGGAGGAGGAGGAGAGGGUGGACACCCACAGCUUCGCGCCCAAGGCCGGCGAGGCCACCGGGCCGUUCCCCGAGGCCGUCCUGCUCAGGAAGAAAAUGGUGAAAGAUGAUGGUCAAGUUGCACCUGAAUUUGCUGAUGCAGAUGAAGGUGUUAUUCAUUUUCUUUAUAUUGUUAUUUUCCUUUUUGUGUUUCAUGCAAAUAUUUUAAACCAGUCUAACCAAAUUUUUACUCAUUUGCAGAAAAGCUAUAUGAGUUUCUUAAUAUCCAAAUGGAGAGUGAUUUAAAUCUGAAAAGAAUGCGGCAUUAUGAAGUGGUUUACCUAAUUCAUGAGGAUCGUGUGGAAGAAGUUGAAGAUGUUGUAUCAAAAGUACAAGAUUUUGUCAGAGAGAAGAAAGGAAGGAUAUGGAGGCUUAACAAUUGGGGACUGCGUAGACUUGCUUACAAAAUAAAGAAAGCAAGACAUGCCAACUACAUCUUAAUGAACUUUGAGAUACAGGCAAAAUACAUCAAUGACUUCAAGACCCUGCUAGAUAAGGACGAGAGAAUCAUUAGGCAUCUCGUGAUGAAACGGGACGAGGCGAUCACUGAAGACUGCUCUCCCCCACCAGAGUUCCACACCCUGCGAGCUCAACAACAGUAUAUGGAUGAUGAAUACAUUGAUGAUGAAGAUGAUGGCAAAGAGGAGCAGGAGCCGGAGGAGGAUUGGGAUGACAAGGGUGAAAUGGAGAACGCUGGUUAUGAAGAUGAUGAUGAACCUGAAAUUAUUCUUGUUGAUGAAGUCGAGCGCGAUAACAACGAAAACAUUAGAAGAAGGAACAGGACAAUGAAAGUAGAGAAGUACGCAGCUGAGAAAGUCUUGAGGUAGCUUAGAUGUCUCUGUUUUCAUUUAGUCUUAGUGUAAGACUACCCCUUUUUUUCUAUACAAAGGACCCACCUGUAUGAAAAUAUGACUACAAAGUAAUCUCAGCUGAGUGCAUUCCAUGUAUCAAAUGACCACUGUUUUGAUGAUAAGUUCAUUAGGUGUUCCCUUGUACCUGAAGCUCCUAUUCCAUGUGAUUUUGUGUGCACCACCACUUAUACAUAAAAGGAGAAAUGAGGUGUGAUGAUGUGA